GUUUAAUUCUGAAGAUUACUACGAACCAAAGUUUACAAAACACAUUUUUCUCACCCACACAUGCACACACACACGGCCACUGUAACAAGGCAGUUCCGAUAGAAAAACCGAGACUUCUCUAAGUACAUCACAGAGUAGAAGGAGCCCUGGCGGGAUUAGGGUUGUCCGGGCGCCACCACAGAACCGCGGUGUAGCGGGGACACAUCACCCCGCCUCUCAGGCUGCAAUCCGUAAGCUGUUCCUACAGCGGCGCCUUCCGACUCAAGAGACUGCUGAGACCAGCUCUCAGACUUUUUGGUCUCAGGGCCCCCGGGGAGCUUUUGUUUGCAUGGAUUACAACCAUUGAUAUUUGUAGUAUUAGAAAUUAAAAUUAAAAUUUACAAGACAAGUGUGCACAGAGACACAUUCCAUCGGCCCUCCGGACGGUGAGGUCCACAUCAUGCAGCCUCUGAAAAACAACCAACUCACAAGAAAACAAGCGUGGAAAAGGCAAAUAACAGCUUGGUAUUGUUAGGAAAAUAACUGUGACCACACGCUGAGGACCGCCGGCUUCAAAUGAGUGAUGGAUGAGUCAACUUACAGAGAAAGUAUUACCUCUACUACUACCUUAAAAAAAAUAAAGCCUGUGGCUCCUGCACAUACCACCUACCUACCAUGAAUGCUCCCACCCAGACCAAACCUUCAGAAAGAUAUCAGUUUCAUCUCAGGAACUGGCUUCCCCAUUCAGUUAUCUAUUACUCCACAUUUAUUGAUGAAUAUGUGACAAGUGCUGCCACCCUUCCACAAUGCCUGGCAUCUUAAAGUGGACCACCAGAACAGGACAGAUUCAAACCCUGCAGCAAUUUGAUUUCUAGACUUAAACUCAUUGGCACUCUUCUUGGAACCCCAAUGGAAUCUAUGUAAAUACUAAAGGCCCGAUGCAUGAAGUUGGUGCAAGGGGCUCAGCCGCCGCCACCACGGCAGCUGCCUCUGCCUUGGCCCCCGCUGCUGCAGCAGCUUCGUCUGGAAGCUCCUGUUGGAGACCAGGUGUAAGCUGACACGGUCCUUGCACCUGAAGGGGCUACCAAGGCUGGGACCCUUACCCACACAGUUUUCCCAGACUUGUUUGGAUGGCGGUUAUCAGUAGAAUGAGAGCAACCUUUGUAGAAUGAGAACAGCCUUUCAUGGC